rnacentral:rRNA from 1 species
ACGAACGCUGGCGGCGUGCCUAAUACAUGCAAGUCGAGCGGAGUUGAUUUGAAAGCUUGCUUUCAAAUCAACUUAGCGGCGGACGGGUGAGUAACACGUAGGCAACCUGCCCUUUAGUCUGGGAUAACUACCGGAAACGGUAGCUAAUACCGGAUAAUUCCUUCUGGCUCCUGCCGGAAGGAUGAAAGACGGAGCAAUCUGUCACUAAGGGAUGGGCCUGCGGCGCAUUAGCUAGUUGGUGAGGUAACGGCUCACCAAGGCGACGAUGCGUAGCCG